UGGGGAAUAUUUCACAAUGGGCGCAAGCCUGAUGCAGCGACGCCGCGUGGGGGAUGACGGCCUUCGGGUUGUAAACUCCUUUCGCUAGGGACGAAGCUUUUUGUGACGGUACCUAGAUAAGAAGCACCGGCUAACUACGUCCCAGCAGCCGCGGUAAUACGUAGGGUGCGAGCGUUGUCCGGAAUUACUGGGCGUAAAGGGCUCGUAGGUGGUUUGUCGCGUCGUCUGUGAAAUUCCGGGGCUUAACUCCGGGCGUGCAGGCGAUACGGGCAUAACUUGAGUACUGUAGGGGUAACUGGAAUUCCUGGUGUAGCGGUGAAAUGCGCAGAUAUCAGGAGGAACAACGAUGGCGAAGGCAGGUUACUGGGCAGUUACUGACGCUGAGGAGCGAAAGCAUGGGUAGCGAACAGG
rnacentral:rRNA from 1 species